rnacentral:rRNA from 1 species
UACGUAGGGUGCGAGCGUUGUCCGGAAUUAUUGGGCGUAAAGAGCUCGUAGGCGGUGUGUCGCGUCGGCCGUGAAAACCUGCAGCUUAACUGUGGGCUUGCGGUCGAUACGGGCAUCACUGGAGUUCGGCAGGGGAGACUGGAAUUCCUGGUGUAGCGGUGAAAUGCGCAGAUAUCAGGAGGAACACCGGUGGCGAAGGCGGGUCUCUGGGCCGAUACUGACGCUGGAGGAGCGAAAGC